AGUCAGGGCAGCUGCUUUGCUGAAGGCCAUGUUCCCUUUUGGGCUGGGAGAAGCUGAGCCCCAGGAGCAGAAAGCAGGCUAUUUUCCCUAACUCUGAAGCAUUUUGCAGCAGCUUUUCAUCACUUGCCCUUAUCGGGAGGAAGUCUCAGACUCUCUGACCUCACCACCUUUCUCUUGGGAGCUGCAGAAGAAGACUAGAAGGCUUGAGCUGCUGCCAUUGUGGCCUUGAGGGGUUCCCUCUCCACAUGCAUGGAACGCCUGAGCCAGAAAAGGGGGAGAAAGAAAAGGACUUGGGAGGACAUGUUCAGUGAGAUCCUGCAAGCCAGUGCUGCAUCAGACUGCAAACAGAGGGCCUGGAGGAUGAAUACUGUAGACAGUCUGGAGAAGGAAAAAGUGGACAGGAGAAAGGCCCAGCAGGAAAAGUAGAGGAAUAUAAAUCAGGACACAAUGUGGCUUCUCUGGCAGCAAAACGCAGAUGCUGCAGAUGUUUGUGGACCUAUAGUUUCAACAGUCCUGGGCUCACCUCCCUCUGUAGUUCACCUCCCUAACCCCACUCCCUCCACGUUCCACAUGGCAUUGGGGGGCUGCAUCUCUACCCCUCCACUCCACACUGCAGGACAUUAAGGACAACCACAGCUUCACAUUCAUCAACUGUGGCUCUCUCAGGCCAGUGUAUGUGUAACUAAAAUGGACACAAAUGUUCCUUCCCCUUCUUUAAGCUUUGUUCCAUAAAUGUAUUAAGGUUUUAAUGUAUUUGCUUUUAAC